CUGUCCUGUGUGAAGGUGCAGUUGGGCUGUGCAGUUAGACUUUGAAUUUUGUUUCAAAUCUGACCAAUGCAGAAAUUCCGAUUUGAGUUUUGUAGCUCGUACUUGGCCUUGGUCUUUUACUGCCUGAGAUUAAAUGCUCUGCUGCUGCACUGCUGGCUCUUGGUCACACUUGGCAGAAGGCUUCAGAGGAAAGCCCAGGUGAUGAUAACUGCCUGCGCAGGUGGGUGGCUGGUGCUGGCUCCUUGGCUGCUCUGAGGUGGACUCCUGGCAGAGGAGAAAUCGGAACCAUCGGCUGGCUAAUUCCAUCCUGUCCGGCCUGAUCACUUGAGUAAUCGUGUGCUCACAGUGACUCAAAAUAGACCAUUUCCCUUUGUCACUCUGAAGUGUGGGGGAAGCCACUUCGGAGCGUUUGUCCUGACACCAAGCACUUGUCACGUUGGGCAUGCACAGUGCUUGGCAGAAAUAGCAGCACAUGCUGCUCAACUGUUAAAAACACGUGCAGCUCUGGAAAAAAACAAACAAACAAAAAAGCUAAUAAUGCUACAGGACUUCAUGCAGCAGAGAGCAACAGGAGAGAAACUGAAUGCAACUACCCAGAAUGGACAGUUUCUUUUUUUAAAACAUAGGUAUUCUUUGAGUGAAUUGAGAUGGCUGCUGGGGCACGGUGAGCUACACGUGUGGCUGUGCUUUUUCCUGUCUGGAGCUGAGUGCCUGGCGGGCCGUCGGACACAGGGGGGCAGCACACUUCAGCUGCGUGGGGACACGCUGCCCUGACAAAGGGAGCGUAAGGUUCCCUGGGAAAUGACCUCCCGAAUGAGAUGAAACCGAUGUAGUCCAAGCAGUUUGGAGUGACCUGGCUGCGCCUCUGGGCUGGCUGCUUUCUUCCACGUUGGGCUCUGCGGCUUCAUUCAUUGUGCUUGUCGUGCCUGGGCUGUCCUGUCCCAUAGUGUGAGCUCCCAGGGGCUUGUUUACGUGCUUCUGCAGAUCUCUUGGGAAGGUUUGUGUCUUUAAACAGCACCCUGGCAGCUGCUUUCUCUCCAGAUUUGCAUGCCAAUGUGAGUCUUGAUGGGAAGAAGACAUCCAUGAAAACUGUACCUACCAUAAGAUCUUCCUGCUGUAAUUUUCCUUUUGCUUAUGGGUCAUCUGUGAACCGAUUUGCUUAGACGGCAGAUCUCAUGGAAAGAAAAUUCAGGGCUGUUUGAGUAACGGUCAGUAAGCAAGAAACUCAGCCGAAGGGUAAGUUUUCUUGGAGAUAGCUUCUGUUUUUAGGCUGCGGGUGUUAUUAAUACACUGCUGUCCUGGGAGAUGCACGUAAGCAGAAAUUCAGACACCUGAUACUCGCCAAACAUACUUUCCGUAGCAAAUGGACAGCCGUGCUGUGUCAUGAGUUAUGCUUCAGUCCUCGCACCGAGUCUCAUUUCUCAGCUCUCCAGUCAUUGUGCGUUCAUCUUGCACAAAUGUGAAGCUCCCGGCUGCUGACUGUAGGGCUGUGAGCUGAGGGACAAAAGGUGUGCUGGGGAUUUUGUCUUCAAGGCAUAAGUUGCAAGCUCUCUGCCUUUCUGUACCGAGUGACUGUGCAGGUGCUUUGUUGAACACUCGUGUACUGUGCUCAGUACUGUGCUCAAGCUUCAGAAGCAGCUGGAUAUUUAGCAAAAUCUGCUCACCUGCUCAGAUUCCCCUGCUUUGCAGGAAGGGGAUGGAGCUGAGGAGCACACAGUAUGUCCCAGUGCAUGAAGUACGGGAAGUAAAAAGGGAAAGAGAGGCAGAACUGGCUGAAAAAAAAACGGGAGAAAGGAAUGAUGAAGCCAACCUAGAGAAGAGGGUGUUGGUGAGCUUGGCAGUGUUAGACUGCUAGAAAUUAAAGAUGUGGUCUGAUGUUUUCCGUAUUCGUUUGGUCUGUUAGGUGCUGCGUGGGGUGCCCAGGCUGUGCGGUGCACUGGGAGUGUGCUGGAAGCCAUGGUCCAGGUGCCUGGUGGAGGAGGAGAGCAGGCUGGGCAAGUGACGCUGGCUCUUGCCAGUAACGAGCCUGUCUGUUUGCAUACCUGGCUUUUAAAAUGUCUGCAGCCCCGAGGAGCAAGGCUAAAAGCAGUCUGCAAGUAGCGUGUGGUGCAAGGGAGCAACUGCGGCUCUAAGGGGUGGCGUCCUGUACUCUCCAAGGGAAGCAUCAGGGGAGGCAGCUCUGGCAAACUCCUUCUCUUCCAAUUUUCCCUUGACAGCACUGGGGUGUUUGGUCCUUGCUUUUCACAUCCUCCUCUUGCCCCAAACUCCCUCGUUGUUCAGGAAGCUGUUCAAACACAUCCCUUCUGCCAGAGUUUGUGAUCAAACCCUCUAAGCCUUGUAACAUCCGACUCCAGGCACCAGUGGCCUGCACCCUCGUGGCUGAGGGGACCACCCCAGCUGCUGCAGGGUUGGAGGCGGUGGGGAGAGCCUCAUGCGCCUGCCUGACCCCCCAAAUCCAGGCAUAGCCCUCCCUGCCCAAGGCCAGCAGCUCUCAGAGCCAGCUGGGGAAAUGUUACACACCCGAGUCUCUGUGGCCAGUAACUACAUGGAUCUCUUGUGCUGGGAAAGGAUACGCUAUGGGGAGGCUCCUACACAAGCCUUGGCUCUGAUCAGGGGAGAAAAUGCUGGUUCGAGGUUUUCUUGAAACGUUGGGCUGCUUUAUUGCAAACAGUUCAUUGCGUGUGGCUUCCCAAUAAAGCUCAGCGUGCUGAAUAAUGCAUGGUGCUGAAAAAUGGGAUGUGCAGCACUAAAGAGCUUUGUGAGGGAUGGGAGAAAGAAGAAAACAAAAGAAAUGCUUCUGUCUGGGAUUUAAGGGAGGCGAUCAAUUAAUCAGAGAGCGGGAUCUGCAGCAAAGACAAGCCGUGCGCUAGGAGAGGAUUUGUUACCUCUUCAUUUGGUCAGUGCGGUAGGUUAUUCAGCUGCUGCGUGGUAUGCAGGCAUGCUUCGGGCAGGGUACAGAGCUGGCUCUCAAGUGAAACAGCAGCAUGUGUAUUUCUGGCUGUCCCUUCGCACAAUGACUGUCCCUGCAGGCUGAUUCCAGCUCCUGCAGCAGACGAGCCUCGCUGUGCUGCCUGGCUGUGGGUGCCGGGGAGGUGCUGUGGUUUUGCUGGGAUGAGGGAGAUGUGGAGCACAUCCCCGAGCCCUGGGAGCCCAGCCCAUGGAUGUGGAUGCACAGAAAGGCAGAGGAGAGAAGCAAACAACUACUUGAAGGCUGUGAUUCUGCAAUGCUGAAGGGACCCGGUGAGACUUCCAGGUGUCAGGUCGAGCUUGCACGAGCUUCCUGACUGACUGCUGGGAAGGCUGGGUCGUUGAGCUGCCCAGAAGCGAUGGGCAGAGGAAAUGUAAGACAAAUCCGUAAAGCUGCUUCCUCAGCUUUCCUAUGCAAAUACGCAAUCUCCUAGUUUAUUAAUUGGGUGAUGCUUAAGGGGAAUUCUGAACUAAAUCCUGAAAAACAACCUAUCCAGGUUUGCAAGUGCUGAAGCUGCCGGAGCUUUGUGGCUGGGCGGGAUGGAGCUAUGUGAGUGCCAGAUGCUCACCUUAGAGGCCGUACGGACUCUCCUAAGGCAAGCCUUAUCCUUGGGUGUAAUGUCAGUGCAGUCACAUCGGAUGGACCGCAGCCCUAGGUCCUGAGAACAACUGCCUCAGCUGUUUCCACACCGGCUCGUAAUUUGACAAGAUGAAAUCCUGCUGUAUUAGUACACGAUGCAGAUUCAGUCAGUUGGUUUUUAACAACCAUUCGGGGUCGGUGAUUUGGACAGUCAGUUAAAAGUGGGCUGCUGGUGUACAUUUACUGUGUCGUCGUUCAAUGUUAGCCCUCCUGUUGAAUUUGUAAGUACUUCUGUUAAUUUCGGUAGAAAUCUGCAUUUGGGGUGAAGGGUGACCUAAUCUUUGAAAAGGAUCUUAAUCCACUUACUCAGCCUCUCUUGCAGAGCUCAGCACUUUUCCCUUGUCAAGAGCAGACUGCAUUCCUAACCUUGAUGUGUCACUUUCCAGUUGACUUAAUAUUUGGGUGAGGAUGAAAAGGAAAUCUUUCUCAAAGAUUAAAAGAUUCCAUGCUGCUAA